GCUUGGCACUUACCACAUGGCGGUGUCAGCCGAUCACAAUAGGUGGUCAGCUUGGUCAUCCUCCUUCGGGAAACACACUACAGGAUUCGGUAGAACGCGGAGUAGCCCAGAGCGAAACGCGGAGCCGGU
ncrna:unclassified sequences RT-10 RNA